UAUGAACUUCUAACAUAGCACUUGGCACAUACUGAUGGGAACGUCUUUAAAAAGCCAAGAACCAGAAUAUCACCCCAAGACAUCUGGUCCUCUCAUCCUUUAGUGAAGUGCAGAUGGAGACUCCUAUGUGGUCUUGAUUAUCACAGUAUUUGGGAACCCUCGGCUAAAGAGAUGUCUUUACAAAGCGAGAGCUAAGAGACUUUUAACUAAGACUGCCUAGAAUACCUCCAAGGAGGUUCAACUCAUUUAGGAAAUUCAAGGUGAUUUUUUUUUUAAAUAAGUUUCUGAUAUAUAAGUGACAAUACCUGAAGAUAAGCAAGAUGUUUACCAAAGUACGUAUGCUUCUUUAAGUCUUAUUUUGAAGUACAUUCAGACCUUUUAAAAUGCAAUGAUUAGG
rnacentral:lncRNA from 12 species